rnacentral:rRNA from 1 species
CUGAUCUCCCCCGAGCGUCCAUAGCGGCGGGGAGGUUUGGCACCUCGAUGUCGGCUCAUCGCAUCCUGGGGCUGGAGAAGGUCCCAAGGGUUUGGCUGUUCGCCAAUGAAAGCGGUACGCGAGCUGGGUUCAGACCGUCGUGAGACAGGUCGGUCCCUAUCUGCCGUGGGCGUGGGAAGCUUGAGGAGGGUCGCCCCUAGUACGAGAGGAUUGGGGCGGACCGACCUCUGGUGUGCCGGCUGUCCCGCUCGGGGCAUCGCCGGGUAGCCAGGUCGGGAAAGGAUAAGCGCUGAAGGCAUCUAAGCGCGAAGCCCUCUCCGAGACGAGGCUUCCGGACUCAAUCGAGUCGAAGGCUCCUGGAAGACGACCAGGUCGAUGGGCUGGAUGUGCACGGCGGGCGACCGUCGCAGCGGACCAGUCCCAACAGCCGAGCGACUUGACC